GAUGAAGAACGUAGUGAAAUGCGAUAAGUAAUGUGAAUUGCAGAAUUCAGUGAAUCAUCGAAUCUUUGAACGCACAUUGCGCCCGCCAGUAUUCUGGCGGGCAUGCCUGUUCGAGCGUCAUUUCAACCAUCAAGCCCCCGGCUUGUGUUGGGGACCUGCGGCUGCCGCAGGCCCUGAAAACCAGUGGCGGGCUCGCUAGUCACUCCGAGCGUAGUAGUUACAUCUCGCUCAGGGCGUGCUGCGGGUUCCGGCCGUUAAAAGCCUUAUUUACCCAAGGUUGACCUCGGAUCAGGUAGGAAUACCCGCUGAACUUAAGCAUAUCAAUAAGCGGAGGA
rnacentral:misc_RNA from 1 species